rnacentral:rRNA from 1 species
UACGAAGGGGGCUAGCGUUGUUCGGAAUUACUGGGCGUAAAGCGCACGUAGGCGGACUAUUAAGUCAGGGGUGAAAUCCCGGGGCUCAACCCCGGAACUGCCUUUGAUACUGGUAGUCUCGAGUCCGGAAGAGGUGAGUGGAAUUCCGAGUGUAGAGGUGAAAUUCGUAGAUAUUCGGAGGAACACCAGUGGCGAAGGCGGCUCACUGGUCCGGUACUGACGCUGAGGUGCGUAAGCGUGGGGAGCAAACAGG